rnacentral:rRNA from 1 species
UACGGAAGAUGCGGGCGUUAUCCGGAUUUAUUGGGUUUAAAGGGAGCGUAGGCGGCCCUGUAAGUCAGCGGUGAAAUGGCGCGGCUCAACCGCGUCCUGCCGUUGAAACUGCGGGGCUUGAGUCUGCACAGGGCACAUGGAACUCGUGGUGUAGCGGUGAAAUGCUUAGAUAUCACGAAGAACCCCGAUCGCGAAGGCAUUGUGCCGGGGCAGCACUGACGCUGAGGCUCGAAAGUGCGGGUAUCAAACAGG